rnacentral:rRNA from 1 species
GAAUCUUGGACAAUGGGGGAAACCCUGAUCCAGCGAUGCCGCGUGAGUGAAGAAGGCCUUCGGGUCGUAAAGCUCUUUAGGUUGGGAAGAGGUGUAUUAGGUUAAUACCCUGAUAUGUUGACGGUACCGACAGAAUAAGCACCGGCAAACUCUGUGCCAGCAGCCGCGGUAAUACAGAGGGUGCAAGCGUUAAUCGGAUUUACUGGGCGUAAAGCGUGUGUAGGUGGCUUCCUAAGUCGGUUGUGAAAUCCCUGGGCUCAACCUGGGAAUUGCAGUCGAUACUGGGAAGCUCGAGUUCGGUAGAGGACGGCGGAAUUCCCGGUGUAGCGGUGAAAUGCGUAGAUAUCGGGAGGAACAUCGAUGGCGAAAGCAACCGUCUGGGCCUGAACUGACACUGAGACACGAAAGCGUGGGGAGCAAAC